UACGUAGGGCGCAAGCGUUGUCCGGAAUUAUUGGGCGUAAAGAGCUCGUAGGUGGCGUGUCGCGUCUGCCGUGAAGGCCCAUGGCUUAACUGUGGGUCUGCGGUGGAUACGGGCAGGCUGGAGGCUGGUAGGGGCAAGCGGAAUUCCUGGUGUAGCGGUGAAAUGCGCAGAUAUCAGGAGGAACACCGGUGGCGAAGGCGGCUUGCUGGGCCAGUUCUGACGCUGAGGAGCGAAAGCGUGGGGAGCGAACAGG
rnacentral:rRNA from 1 species